UACGGGGGGGGCAAGCGUUGUUCGGAAUUACUGGGCGUAAAGGGCUCGUAGGCGGCCAACUAAGUCAGACGUGAAAUCCCUCGGCUUAACCGGGGAACUGCGGCUGAUACUGGAUGGCUUGAGGUUGGGAGAGGGAUGCGGAAUUCCAGGUGUAGCGGUGAAAUGCGUAGAUAUCUGGAGGAACACCGGUGGCGAAGGCGGCAUCCUGGACCAAUUCUGACGCUGAGGAGCGAAAGCCAGGGGAGCAAACGGG
rnacentral:rRNA from 1 species